GCAAACUUGGUCAUUUAGAGGAAGUAAAAGUCGUAACAAGGUAACCGUAGGUGAACCUGCGGUUGGAUCAUUAAAAAGAAAUUCAUUCUCGGGCCCGUCCUCGUUCCUCGGAGCGGGGGCGCGCGCUCGUGAAUAAUCCACACUUGUGAACCAGUUGCGGCCGCGUGGCUGCCGAAUCUCCGUCAUCGGGCCCCCCCGCGGGGCACGAGGCGGUGGGACGGCGCCUUUCGGUCUUUCUCCCAACCAACCACGUUUAUGUAUUAUCCUUUUUUUAUUUAAAUCUUCGCGACUCGUCGCGUUAGAAUUCUUAAAACAACUUUAGACAACGGAUCUCUUGGCUCUCGCAUCGAUGAAGAACGCAGC
rnacentral:misc_RNA from 1 species